rnacentral:rRNA from 1 species
UACGGGGGGAGCAAGCGUUGUUCGGAUUUACUGGGCGUAAAGGGCGCGUAGGCGGCCACCGCAAGUCGGUUGUGAAAUCUCUGGGCUUAACCCAGAAAGGUCAACCGAUACUGCGGGGCUAGAGUGCAGAAGGGGCAACUGGAAUUCUCGGUGUAGCGGUGAAAUGCGUAGAUAUCGAGAGGAACACCUGCGGCGAAGGCGGGUUGCUGGGCUGACACUGACGCUGAGGCGCGAAAGCCAGGGGAGCGAACGGG